rnacentral:lncRNA from 10 species
GACCUAUUCAAAGAUGGAACUUCACAGAGAAUCAGCUCUGCUUUGUCCUAGACACAUUUAAAGAGAGCUGAGACGGCCUGUCAGGAAGCGCACACUACGCUGUGGGAACAAAAACACCAGGUGUCUGCUAUGGCCAAGGCAGAUAAGGUCUUUCUCUCCAACAGGAUCCAGAGAUGAGCCACUGGUACUAACACCCAACGGCUGAUAUUGUUUCAUAUGAACGUACCCUCCACGUGACCUCUUUAAUGCACUUGGCAAACUCCGUUAAUGCUGUUGAAGAAUGUAUGUUCUGUGCUGUGGUAAGAGGUGAUCGUAAUGCCCAAAUCAUCCAAUACACUAUCAUAAAGUGAAGUGAAAGACAUGUACUAGAUGUUUGCUUUGUGAAUGUGAAUGAAAGUCUUAUUUUGGGGGUGUAGUUUCUUAUGUUUUAAUAAAAACAGUAGUCAUUAUUUUAAAAAGCACAUUCUCCUAGGUGCAUAUUUAUAUACAUAUACAAAUACCAUUUCCUUCCCCCUUGUGCCCUUCUGGGUAGUCAUUUUAAAAACUCAAGCCUGGGGUCAUCAAAAGGGGUAGAUUUAUACUCCCACCUAACUGUCUGGAGUAUAGAGUUCAGAUAGUCUCUUAGGAAGUUUUAUAAAUGAGAUUCACCCAGUACAAUUCUGAAAGCUCUUAAACAGGAGUCUUUAAAAUAAUGUAAACACUUAAGUAAUCAAUAAGGGUUCUCUGGUGGCCCACUUUUACAUGCAAAUACAGACCAACUGUUAACAUGCAUUAUUUUAGUCAACUGGUAAAGUUUAUUUCAUAAGUAUAAGUAAUUUUAAGCCUUUUACUAAACUGUAAAUUUCAAUCCAUUAAAAACUACUACCGGAGCAGUUUUGAGGUAUUACUGUUAAUUUAGUAUAGAAAUGUUACUGUAUUUUGAUGUGGUAUGAAAUGCAGCCGCCAUGCCUUUCAUGAAACGGUGCUAUCGUGGUGCUGACUACAGACAUGUCCUAUGGCUUUCAGGAAAUUAUUGUGCAUGUGCAUUAACAGAUUUUCCAAACAUUAAUGACAAUUUGAUUGGUUAGUCAUUUGUAAGCAUACCAAAAUAAUACAGUAUAGCCCACGUAUGAGCCAAACACACUGAGACAUUUGAGGCAUACAAUGCUACCCUCCAGUCUACUUUCGUCAGAAACCAAACCUACUCACUCAAAUCAUUUACAAGGAAAACUAGUGCAGAAAGCACCCCAAAAAUGUUGCCUGUCAGCAGGUUAAUUUUCUUCUAACUUUAAAAGAAGUAGAUAUUUUUUCUUUUAAAAUUCAUUUAUAAAAAUAAAUUUUAGUUUGAGACCCUAGGUACCAAAUUGUGGCUUAAUUUACUCAAGAUGGAUGUACUACAAAGUUAUGAAAAAUGUAGCUGAAAACCCAUGAGCUCCAGCUCAUUUCUGCAGCGUGGCCAACAGCUGCCACUGUACACUGUCACAACCCUUCUCAUAGGUAACCAAAAUACGCUCAACGUCUUGACAAACUUUUAGCCUUCCUUUGUCCUGAAACUCCCACACAACUUUAAUUCUUAGACCUCCAUUAUAAAACUAUUAGUAACCAUAAUACAUUCAAGAUAGAGAAUGAAGACCUGUCAUCCACUCAGGAGACACUGAACCAGGGCACUGGGACAACACGGCCACUCAGGGGAAAUAGUCACCCUUGUGGGUGUACAGCUCUUCAGAUGUUUUGCACUAGAAUGCAGGCAAAAAGUCCCUUAUGUAAUUUUUAUCUCCAAGCAACAACAUUUAAAAAUCAGUUGAAGAGUGUCAGCAGGUGCUUCUAGGUUCUGUGCUGUGAGCCCCCAGGUCGUGGAGUGUAGGGCUCUGGAUCUCUCUGUACACGGGAUAGAAACACAGUCACGUGGAAAUGCCAAUAUGACUUACUGCUUAGGGCUGUGCUGACAUCGGCAUCUCUGUUAGACUGAUUCUCGUAGGAGAAGCUUUUUUUUUUUGCCUUAGUCAGGAGAUUAUUCGAGGAACAGUAAAGAACUGAACUAAGGAAGUAGCUACUGGCUUCCAAAGCCACACACACACAAAAGUAAGUUUCAAACUGUUGUCCUCUCUCAGUGCAAACGAGCAAUUGGCGGACCUGUCACGUUUCAUCAAUCGAUACGAACACAGCAUUCAGUCUGUGGAACAAUGUGAUGCGGCAAAAAUCUGAUCUAAUGCAAAUUCAAGCCCAUUAAAUAAAACCACAGAAAGGAGAGCCAGCCCGGCUCAGUGUCCUCGCGCACGGACGCUGACUCGUAGCACAAAAGCAGCUGAAAGGCACGAGGCUCAGAUCUCACUGAUCGUCCUCUCUGAAGGGCAGUACUCCGAGGGGCCUGGCGAGGACAUGUAGAAAGACUGCGUUUUCCUUUUCAAUCGGGCCCUUUUGUUGGCCAACACCAGACUGCGCCGGCUUGAACUGAUGAUUUCCGAAAUGAACUUCUUGCAGUCCACACACACCUCCAUGGUGCUCCAGUCCUCCAUCAACUCUUUGGGAAACUGGAGUUCUUCAUC